rnacentral:rRNA from 2 species
UUGAUUGAUGGUGCUUGCACCUGAUUGAUUUUGGUCGCCAACGAGUGGCGGACGGGUGAGUAACACGUAGGUAACCUGCCCAGAAGCGGGGGACAACAUUUGGAAACAGAUGCUAAUACCGCAUAACAGCGUUGUUCGCAUGAACAACGCUUAAAAGAUGGCUUCUCGCUAUCACUUCUGGAUGGACCUGCGGUGCAUUAGCUUGUUGGUGGGGUAACGGCCUACCAAGGCGAUGAUGCAUAGCCGAGUUGAGAGACUGAUCGGCCACAAUGGGACUGAGACACGGCCCAUACUCCUACGGGAGGCAGCAGUAGGGAAUCUUCCACAAUGGGCGCAAGCCUGAUGGAGCAACACCGCGUGAGUGAAGAAGGGUUUCGGCUCGUAAAGCUCUGUUGUUAAAGAAGAACACGUAUGAGAGUAACUGUUCAUACGUUGACGGUAUUUAACCAGAAAGUCACGGCUAACUACGUGCCCAGCAGCCGCGGUAAUACGUAGGUGGCAAGCGUUAUCCGGAUUUAUUGGGCGUAAAGAGAGUGCAGGCGGUUUUCUAAGUCUGAUGUGAAAGCCUUCGGCUUAACCGGAGAAGUGCAUCGGAAACUGGAUAACUUGAGUGCAGAAGAGGGUAGUGGAACUCCAUGUGUAGCGGUGGAAUGCGUAGAUAUAUGGAAGAACACCAGUGGCGAAGGCGGCUACCUGGUCUGCAACUGACGCUGAGACUCGAAAGCAUGGGUAGCGAACAGGAUUAGAUACCCUGGUAGUCCAUGCCGUAAACGAUGAGUGCUAGGUGUUGGAGGGUUUCCGCCCUUCAGUGCCGGAGCUAACGCAUUAAGCACUCCGCCUGGGGAGUACGACCGCAAGGUUGAAACUCAAAGGAAUUGACGGGGGCCCGCACAAGCGGUGGAGCAUGUGGUUUAAUUCGAAGCUACGCGAAGAACCUUACCAGGUCUUGACAUCUUGCGCCAACCCUAGAGAUAGGGCGUUUCCUUCGGGAACGCAAUGACAGGUGGUGCAUGGUCGUCGUCAGCUCGUGUCGUGAGAUGUUGGGUUAAGUCCCGCAACGAGCGCAACCCUUGUUACUAGUUGCCAGCAUUAAGUUGGGCACUCUAGUGAGACUGCCGGUGACAAACCGGAGGAAGGUGGGGACGACGUCAGAUCAUCAUGCCCCUUAUGACCUGGGCUACACACGUGCUACAAUGGACGGUACAACGAGUCGCGAACUCGCGAGGGCAAGCAAAUCUCUUAAAACCGUUCUCAGUUCGGACUGCAGGCUGCAACUCGCCUGCACGAAGUCGGAAUCGCUAGUAAUCGCGGAUCAGCAUGCCGCGGUGAAUACGUUCCCGGGCCUUGUACACACCGCCCGUCACACCAUGAGAGUUUGUAACACCCAAAGUCGGUGGGGU